rnacentral:rRNA from 1 species
AGUCGAGGGGCAGCGGGAGUGCUUGCACUUGCCGGCGACCGGCGCACGGGUGCGGAACGCGUAUCGAAUCUGCCUCUAUCUGGGGGAUACCCCAUGGAAACGUGGAAUAAUACCCCAUAGUAUUACUUUAUCGCAUGAUUUAGUAAUUAAAGAAUUUCGGAUAGAGAUGACGAUGCGUAUCAUUAGCUAGUAGGUAAGGUAACGGCUUACCUAGGCAACGAUGAUUAGGGGUCCUGAGAGGGAGAUCCCCCACACUGGUACUGAGACACGGACCAGACUCCUACGGGAGGCAGCAGUGAGGAAUAUUGGACAAUGGUCGAAAGACUGAUCCAGCCAUGCCGCGUGCAGGAUGACUGCCCUAUGGGUUGUAAACUGCUUUUAUACGGGAAGAAAAACACCUACGUGUAGGUGACUGACGGUACCGUAAGAAUAAGGACCGGCUAACUCCGUGCCAGCAGCCGCGGUAAUACGGAGGGUCCAAGCGUUAUCCGGAAUCAUUGGGUUUAAAGGGUCCGUAGGCGGGCUAUUAAGUCAGAGGUGAAAGUUUGCAGCUCAACUGUAAAAUUGCCUUUGAUACUGAUAGUCUUGAAUUGUAGUGAAGUGGUUAGAAUAUGUGGUGUAGCGGUGAAAUGCAUAGAUAUCACAUAGAAUACCGAUUGCGAAGGCAGAUCACUAACUAUAUAUUGACGCUGAGGGACGAAAGCGUGGGGAGCGAACGGGAUUAGAUACCCUGGUAGAAGGGC